AAGACUUUGAGCAUGCCAUGGAAAUCUGCCAGAAAUGCCUUGCUCCAGUAACUGUAUACAGUAUUUCCUGUGUUAUUUUUGGAUAAACCCUUAAAACAGAUUGCAGUAUAAAAAGGAGUUUCCAUUCAGGAAGAGAGCUGAAAUAAUAAUUUAAUAACAUUCAGUUAUUAAUAUUAUAUUUUUCAGUGUUUCAUUUUAGUUUCAACUUGUACAAGCUGUGAUGAUUUACAUUUUUAAUCUCCACAGGGUACAGUGUAUCACACCAGGGUGUGCAAUGAAGCUCUGCUGGGUACAACCUGGGGUGACAUGUAGGUGCAUUGUUUAAUAUGACAUUGUUUGGCAUUUGCAAACCUCUGUGUCAGAUUAAAGCAAGCAGGAGUAUUUCCCUUACUCUGCAGCAGGGGUAAGGAUGUAAGGAGACUGUACAUGAUGAUGCACAGCAAAUCUGUGCACUGCUCAAAUUUUCUUUGACUAAAUUAUGUUUAUUGACAGAAGCAUUGAUGGUCAUUAGCAGUGGCUAAAUCAGAUCCUGCUCUUGUACUUGCUUGAAAAAGACUCAUUAUAAAGGAACCUUACUUCACUAAGAUAAAACUAAUCCUCACCUCUUUCUAAAACAGGCACAAGCUUCUUUGAAGUUGGUAAUGUAGAAAAGCUGCUUUAAGUCAAUUAUUUUAUGAAUUUGUGUGUUGCAAAACUUCAAACAGCUUUAUAUAGCCUUAAUGAUUGUAUACUUGCACCUUUUUUUAGUUUAAAUUUAGCUUAGUACUAUUCUCCAUCAACAUAAACUGGACUAGAAUAUAUCAGCAGACAUGUGAAACCAAAAGCUUUCAAUCUGUCAAAGUUUGUAACAAUCUAACUCUGACAAAGAGGUGACAUUUUCUUCAACAGACAAGACCUGCGGGACUUAUGCACCCUCCAGAACAUGCCUGAAUGCCUGGAACAUUAUAAAGUGCAUUUCCAUGAAGGAGGGGUGUGUGCCCUUAUCCAAUAUGUGAAAACAACAACAAAACCUAAACCAGACAUGAAAUACAAGAGCAGGUAAAGAGCAGGUAGCUAAACAGCCAUCAGACCAGCUUUCAGCACAUUCCAUCCACCCGGGCACAGAUGGUGUCAAACGAAGCUGUAAUAGCUCAUGCUUGUACUGUGAUGCACUGAGAGAGCCACAGGCAAGAGUGAGGGGAGGGAAACAUGGCUGCCUGCAAUCCUGUUUGUCUGAAAGCUCCCUGGCAGUGCCUCGUUCCUGAAGCUCAGCUCAGCCUGGCACUGACAGUCCUCCCUAAGCCAGAAGACUCUCCUUUAACCUCAUCUGCAAACUGAGCAUCACCAGGCCCUGCUGCCCAAGGUGCUUACAAACACUGCCCACUCUCUGCCCUGCUCUGUUUCUGCUGUUGCUAUUAAAACCAAAGAAGAGUUCCUAGAAGCAUGACUCCUGUUCUUGGCUUCAAGUUGUUCUGUACCUUCUGUGCUUGUUAACAUUUCUAGUCAGCCUGUACAGCUUAAGCUACUGUCUCUUUACCUGUGGACUAAAAAUUAUAACUGUCCUUGCAUAAUGAUUUUACAGUACUUCUCUGAUUAACGACUCAUCCCCCAUUAAAUUAAGUUACAGGUAGUUUAUCUAAGAAUCUCCUCUCCUGUGCCUCCUCUUCCCUCCAAAAAUGAAGAGGAUAAAGUGCUUAUAAAAAUACACAUCAUUGUAGAUGGUUAAAAUACACUAAUUACAGAAACUGGAUCAGGUUUAUGCAUCUUGUUCUACUGAUAGCCAUGUGAUUAGAUGAUACCUCACAGCUACAAAGUUAAAAACUCUUAUCUGGAGAAGGUUGCAGUUUGCAGAGUUAUGAAGCCCUCAGCAUACAAACUGCACUCAUUAGUUGUGCACAGCAUCUGUAAUGAAAUCUUUUGUAACACUCCAAAGUCCUUCCAUACCUAAAUAUAUAUAAUGUAUCUUAGCUAGGAAUAUGUAAAUAUCAAGAUAACAUAAGCUUCUUGUAUCUAUUUUAGCUGAAGACAAGGUACAAAGUGUGCAGAAAUUCAUUUUCUGACUUCUGGAAAUGGAAGUUUGCUAUUGAGGGUUAAGACAACUGAGGAGGAAGCAAUAUGCAAAAAGAAAGAAUUCCACAUUGAAUAGUAUAAGCACUUUCUGGGGCUCAUCACACAAAGAAAAAUAUUUUGAACAGGAAGAAAGUAAAGAAAAAGAAAGGUCAUGAUCCUACAUUCCGUAAGGAAGGAAAAAAUGAGACAAAAAAAAAGUCACACCAAACCCUAAACUUAAAAGGAAUAUUACCACUGAAGAAUAUGAAACUUUGAAAAUUUCAUGAUAAAAUCAUCCAAAUCAACUCUACACAGCAUUACACAACACAAGUUAAAGAAAUCCUACCUGUGUUACUUUGGAUACAAUGGUUAAAAACAGAUGUACAGACUAUUGCAAACCAAUCUUACACUGACUGCUCUGCAGCGUAAAUGAGCACAGUUCCAAUUAUGUCUCUACUGAGGGAAGCAACAGGCAGCAUAUAAAUGCAAACAGCCUUCAUUAGACACAUUGUCAUGAGUAUAUUAAUCAUGUCAAGAAGCAUUGCUCAAGUUUCCUUCAGUGCAAUUUAACAUACCUUACUUUAUUAGGAUGCACUUAAUUUCACUAUGCUUUCUCCUCAUUAUCAUUUAUGAUGACCAAUUAAAAUGUUUGUGUCUGUCUCUAAGCAAAUUACUCCUGUAAUUCAGGUAGCUGAAAUCACUGUUCAUCCCACACUUCUGUCAUCUCCUUCUCUCAGUGCAAUAUCUUCCUUUUAGAGGCCCAGCCACUCUUACCAAUGCAAACAGAAAAAAUCCCUUACUUAAAAUGAACAAUUAAGAUAUAAACCUGAGUCUUUUUAUAGCACAGACAUUAAGAAGUGGGCUGGUUCUCCUCCCCUCACCCAGAGUACCCGUGUUAUAAAGCCUUUUGUUCCCCUGGAGUCACCAGCACAACUCAUAGUCAGAAAAAGAACGCAGCGAAGCAAGGGAGGCCUCACACAUUUUUCUCAUUGGGUUAGAAGUUGUGUGCAGCUUCACUUCAUUUGGUCCAUACAUGGAACAAAUGCAGACACACAGCAACUUUACUCCUUCAUUUCCUUCAAAACCUUUGUACUGGGGCUCUGGCACAAGCUUUCAAAUGAUAACAGAAUGUGUCAUUCCACACAUGUUUCCAACAUCCAUAAAUAAGCCCAAACCAUUUUUACUAUUCUAAACAUCAGGUGUGAGGGCAUGAUUUUUUCUGAACCCUUGACAACACAACUGUGAGCCAUUUAUUUGAUUACAGCUGUUAUUUCUGGCUUCAUGUGUAUUGAAAUAAGAUUAAAAUAACUGGAAGUCAGGUGGAAAUUGUAAUUACACACAGUGCUUUUGCUGUGGAACUCAGGGCAACCAGGAAUGGCUGAGCAACAUCUGGGAUCACCAAGCUAUGUUUAUGAACUCAUUUAUCUGUGGAUUACCUUGGGCUCCUGGAACUAAUGAUACAAUGCUUGUUCCUCAGCAGCUGCCGGAGCUCAGCUGCAGAGCAAUGGUAUUUACCUUAUUUUCUCAAGAAACAUACGUGUUCUCAUUUACAUAACAUUACUUUGACAUUACAGUAAUGACUUCCAGAAAAACACCGAUAAUUGCAAGGAUGAAGAAAGAAGGCUGAAGACAGAGCGGCCUUUUAGAACAAUUAUAAUUUCAUUAAAAUAGGAACAUAACUUAAAGAUAGAUUUUAUUCUCUUUGAUGAUUUACUCAUGCAAACUGCACAUAAAAGAAAACAGUACAGUUUGUGAAACAUGUCAAAUGUAAAGACCCAAAAUGCUAAGUACAGAAGUAGUGUGACAACGUCUCAAAACGGAAUCCAUGGUAGUACGGCUAAUACCUGUUCUCUAUUUGCUGAACACAGAUUUUAAUGGUUCUUUUUCCAGCCCCACUGUUAAAUUCAUUAACUGUUUACACAUCUCCUAUACACUUAUGUAGACUUAUUUUACAAGCGCAACAGUUUUGUUAUAAAAAAACUCCACUUAUAUGAUUUAAAAGCCUUUGUGUUUAGGAGGGCAAAUUAUAGUAUGAUCAAUGAGGCCGCAUCUAGUCCACCAAACCUACAAUGAAAAGUGACUGUAGAGCUUUCUUGCAGAAUUCACACUUUGUGCCUUUGCAAUUCAAUUCUUUCUCGUGAGAGGUCCAUUGUAUUUAACCAUCCUGGAAACGUUCAAUAACUGUUACAACUUUUUAUCUUGAAAUUGGGAAAGUAAGACUUUUAAACACAUGAGGUUAUCAACACAACUUUCUUAGUUUUAAAAUACAAAAUAUUUAAAUUCCCUAAUAUUUUCAUGCUUAAAGCCCUGCAAUGAUACAUAUAUGACUUAGAUACUUUGUCCAGUUUUCAGUACAGUAUGGUUGUAUAUAUAUUGCAGAAAUUAUAUUUUCCUGUGAAUCAAUUACAUUUUUAGAUUUAAAACUGAACCUAAUAGAAAUCUGAUGGCACUGACACUUAAAAAACGCAUGGUAUAGUGUGGAGAAGGAAGAGCAAAUGAACUACACAACCCAUUAUAAAUGCAUUAAAUCUUUGUUAUAUACAUAAUGGAAUCCUGCUUUACUGCCAGUUGCUACUAUGCAUCUGUUUUUGCUAUUAUACAAAGUUUUCCGACCUGAAAGCACACAUCUACUUUUUUUAAAACAACUUAAUCUAUUGUAAAAUAUUGUACUGUAUUUUGAACAUGAGUACAGAAUCAAAAUAGAUAAUGGCACAUUUAAAAAACUCAGUAUCCUACAGAUGAUUGGAUAAUGAGAAAAAGUGUACCUACAAUCAUCUCAUCAGAAACAAACUACAUCAUGGAAUGUUAGUUAUCCAAGUUCGCACAGUAAAUAACAUUUUAAAACUGCAAUCACCUAUCAGCCAGCAUCACAUUGAAGGCAUCUUUAAACAUUCAAGCAAAAGACUGCUGGCAUUAACUACUGAACCAUUCUCACACACACACCACACACACCACAUUAUAAUUACAUUGUUUCCAAGAUACGGUAGAUACUGAUUUUUUUUUCCACAAGAAAGGUAUCAAAAUUUUUGCUACUAAAAGAUGACAGUGCUUACACAAGAAUUAAGUACAAGUUAGCUUGCAAAUACAAGACAAUGACAAAAAAAAGUCGAGUUGUCUGAAGAAGGAUUUUAGGCUUUUCUGGCAUCCAAAACCAUGAGUAAACUCCUUAGUCUGCGACUCAAAAAUCCACAAAAUACAACCUACUUUGGAAUAACAAGUAUUCCAUACUUGAUAACCCUGUAUUUUACAAUAUGCUUACUGGUUUCAGCCUAGCAACAAGGGGUGGUUAUAGAUAUCUAUUCUGACUGGAGAAUUAAAGCUCUCCUCCCACCAGAAUCAAGUGUUGGAGUGGGAAAAAAACCCACCUGACAUCAAU